rnacentral:rRNA from 1 species
GACGAACCGUGCGAACGUUGUUCGGAAUCACUGGGCUUAAAGGGCGCGUAGGCGGCCUACCAAGUCCGGGGUGAAAGCCCCCGGCUCAACCGGGGAAGUGCCUUGGAAACUGGUGUGCUCGAGGGAGGUAGGGGUCGAGGGAACUUCUGGUGGAGCGGUGAAAUGCGUUGAUAUCAGAAGGAACGCCGGUGGCGAAAGCGCUCGACUGGACCUUUUCUGACGCUGAGGCGCGAAAGCUAGGGGAGCAAACGGG